rnacentral:rRNA from 1 species
GGACGAAAGUCUGAUGGAGCAAUACCACGUGAACGAUGAAGGUCUUCUGAUUGUAAAGUUCUUUUAUUUAGGAAAAAAAGCGCGCUAGGAAAUGAGUGCGCCUUGAUGGUACUAAUUGAAUAAGUGACAGCUAACUAUGUGCCAGCAGCUGCGGUAAAACAUAGGUCACGAGCAUUAUCCGGAUUUAUUGGGCGUAAAGGAAGCGUAGGCGGGGAGGUUGAUCCAUUGUUAAAAGCAUUUGCUUAACAAAUGUGUGCAUUGGAGAUCGCCUCCCUAGAGUUAAUCAGGGGGUACUGGAAUUCAAUGUGUAGCGGUGGAAUGCGUAGAUAUAUUGAGGAACACCAGAGGCUAAGGCGAGUACCUAGGAUAUAACUGACGCUGAGGCUUGAAAGCGUGGGGAGCAAAUGGGAUUAGAUACCCCAGUAGUCCACGCCGUAAACGAUGAGCAUUGGGCAUUUGACAUCUGGUCGAGUGCUGUAGCUAACGCGUUAAAUGCUCCGCCUGGGUAGUAUAUAUGCAAAUAUGAAACUCAAAGAAAUUGACGGGGACCUGAACAAGUGGUGGAGCAA